AUGAAAAUAUUAUGUUGGAACUGCCGUGGGAUGAGGAAGCCUGCGGUAGUUCGUGCGCUCUUGGGGAUCCAAGGGCGGGUGAGACCAGAUGUACUUUUUCUGUCUGAAGCACAUAUGAGCAAAGCAAAGGCAGAAAAACUUAGGAGAAGGCUUGGUUUUGACGCAGUGGCAGUGUCAGAAAGUGAUGGAAGGAGUGGUGGUCUUGUAAUGUUC
rnacentral:rRNA from 1 species